GCUCCGCGGCAUAUGGGAUCUUCCUGGGCCAGGGCUUGAACCUGCGUCCUCUGCGUUGGCAGGCAGAUUCUUAACCACUGCGCCACCAGGGAAGUCCCUUUUUUUUAAAAGUUUUUUUUUUUUUUCCCGAUGUGGACCAUUUGUAAAGUCUUUAUUGAAUUUGUUACAAUAUUGCUUCUGUUUUAUGUUUUGGUUUUUUGGCCGCGAGGCAUGUGGGAUCUUAGCUCCCGGACCAGGGAUCAAACCUGCACCCGCUGCGUUGGAAGGCGAAGUCUUAACCACUACCGCCAGCUAAGCCGAAAGAAGGCACAAAAAGCCAGAAGAAAGAUGAAUGGGUGACAGCUGGCAAGAAGAGACAUGCUGGUCAAAUUCCACAAGAGAAAUUGGCUGUGAAUCAGAGGUGGCAAAGCCCACUUCCAAGACUCCAAAGAGCAGCUUUUAUUCUUGCAAGAAAAGUUAGUCAGGAGAGGGACAAGUGAGAAGUCUCCUGGAAGAAAGAGGAGGUAGUUAUUCCCAGCAGAGCGUGAAAUUGGUUCUUGGGAGGCCUUCCCUGUAAUAAGUGACUAUUUUGCUGGGCAGGAUUGGAUUAGCUCCGGGGUAUUUAGCAAUCUAUAUAUCUCGCUGGCUCCUGGCACUUUAGUGAGGAAUAGGAAGAUUAAUUGCAGGCACCUGUCUGCUCAUCCCACGUAAUAUAACCAACACUGGAAGGUUCCUCUCAUGCCAGAAACUGCUCAGUCUCCCGCCUCUGUGAAGUCUGCCCAUCUGUCUGGAAAAAGGCAGUUCAGGCCAUGUUUUUCCCAAGCAAUAGAAAACGCCAGUCUUAAAGCGAGAAGUUUGUCCUAAGAAGCUGGAAGUUUACUUAAGAGAUAUUUCAACAACCCAUGUCUUCGAAAGUCUGGGAAUUUUUCUUGGAGUAUACCUGCACCAGUAUGCCCACCUUGAUUUAAUUGUAUGGAGGUCUACAAGUCUUGUUCAUAAAAUGUGUCAAGCUCGAGGAAGAAAAGGUGAGAAGAUGAGUUUAUUAGACCUUGGCAAAACAAAACAAAACACCACAACCGAGCAAACAACCUCAUCCACCUGUGGUUCCCUCCGUGGCUGACACUUUGCAUUCCCAUAGCAUUUUCCUAGUAUAUAUCACUUAGCAUCUAUCUUUUGUUAAAGGGCUUCUUGAUUUUGUUUGUUUUUAAAGAUGCUGUUCUAUCAGGUUGUAAAUGCCUGGAGAGGAGGAUCUCCAGACAUCCUGCCUUGUUCUUCACAGUCAGGGAUGAUAUUCAAGAUAGUUAACACCCAGUACAGAACAGGAACCAACCAAAUCAAAUGGACACUGGUCUCAGCAAUUUGUACAGCCAUACUGGUGUAUACAGCUGAGUAUGUUUUCUGCACACAGAAGGCUUCCAAUAAACGAUUGUUGGAUGGAAUUUCAUUGGUUUGGUGUCCUGGCCCUGGCAUCUAAUGGCUUUCUUUCAGAAUUCAGGCUACUUUUUCUUGCCAAGAUAUGACCAUAACCAUUUCUCCUCCUUGAUUUAAUCCUGCAAGAGUCUGAGCAAUUGUGAAGAACUUUGUGAGUUCUUCAAACCUGCACUGUCCAAUAUGGUAGACAUUAGCCACAUAUAUAAGGUUGCUAGAUAAAAUAUCGGACGCUCAGUUAAAUUUGAAUUUCAGAUAAAUAAAGAAUAAAUUUGUAGUGUAAAUGUGUCCCAUGCAAUA